AUGUGGACCCGUCUUCGUCAGCGCUAUGAGCCCUCUGGUGAUGCCUUAUACCUUUCCGUGGUCCGUCAGGAGCAUGCUCUUCAGCAGGGUGACUCUACUAUUGAUGAUUUCUAUGCACAGAGUUCUGCUAUCUGGCGCCAGCUUGAUUCUCUCCGCAGUGAUGGUUGUCGUACUUGCCCCUGUUGGCAGGCUGUCCAGGCCAAUUUGGAGUUUCAUUGCGUCUACGAGUUCCUGUGUCGUCUCCGUAAGGAGUUUGAGCCCCGGCGUGCUCAGUUGUUUGCUCGUGGCCGUAUUUCUCUCAUGGAGGCGCUUUCUGAGAUUCGUGCUGAGGAGACUCGCUUAAAUGGUGGUGGUUUGUUGGAGGUUCCCUCUGUGCCUGCUACUCGGGCUCCUUCUACACCACAUGCUGCACCGACCCCUUCUUGCUCGAGUGCUCCGCCGCUCUUUCCCACUACUUCUGGAGGCUCAGGUCGCCCCCGUCCACAUUGCGACUGA
rnacentral:rRNA from 1 species